UCUGGGGAAAGCCAGGUGCUCUGUCGUGAGGGCAUUUAAGAAGUCCCAUACAGACUCCCACUUGGGAAGAACUGAGGCCACCUGCCAACAUCCACAUGAGUGAACUUGGAAGUGGACCUUCCGGCCCCAGUCAAGCCUUCAGAUGACUGCAGCCCUGGCUGACAUCCUAACUGGAGCUUCAUUAUAGACUCUGAGCCAGAACCACAAAAUUAAACAACCUUCAAGUCCCUGACCCACAGAAAAUUAAACUGGAAGUUUCCCGAACUUUACAAGGCAGUUCUGGAGGUGAAAAUAAAGCCCCCUGCUCAGAGAUGUAUAAGACUGAGAGAACUACUGGCUGGGAGAUGUAAGAAGGAAAAGCACUUGGGGUCAAAUCAAAUACCUAGAGUCCAACAGCAGAUGUGUUUUGAGAUUUGGUUUGAAGAGAGAGAUCAAGAACUCCAUCCCUGGGUAUAACCAGCUUUGUGUCUACACAUGUCCACAUUGGAGCAGCUGACUGGUUGAAGAAAACACAUAACCUUGCCCACUUGCUC